UACAGCGACAGUUCACGUGUAUACACUGAUACAAUUUCUUGAAAAUAUCUUACAAAUCUGAAGUUCAGAAGCUGUAAUAAUAAUUAAGAUGCAAACACGAGAGUUUUUCGUUUCUGGCCCAGGGAAAGUCAUUCUCCACGGUGAGCAUUCUGUCGUGCAUGGAAAGGUCGCUUUGGCUGUGAGUUUGAACCUGCGCACGUUCCUGCGGCUGCAGUCCACAUCAUCCGGUGAAGUGCACAUCAACCUCCCCAAUAUUGACACUUUUCUGUCCUGGGAAAUAACUGCACUGCAGCCUCUUCUGGCAGGGUGUAAAGCAGAGCAGGGUGGCCUGAAGGAACUUGAUGCAGAUCUUUUGAAGAGACUACGUGAAUUCACAGGGAUUUCGGAGGAUUCCACAGACACAAGAAGCAUGGCAGUGUUGGCCUUCCUCUAUAUGUACCUGUCUGUUUUUGCAGAGUCUCUAGCCAGUAUCACGGUGUCCGUGUGGUCAGAGUUGCCCACAGGAGCUGGUUUAGGCUCCAGUGCUGCCUAUAAUGUUUGCCUGUCUGCCGCUCUGCUGUCUGCUAGAGGAAACAUAUCAUAUCCUCUUACACCACAGCAGGAGUCAGCCAGGUGGAGUAAAGAGGAGAUGGAGCUGAUUAACAGGUGGGCGUUCAUGGGUGAGAAGAUCAUCCACGGUAACCCUUCAGGGGUGGACAAUGCUGUGGGCACAUGGGGUGGCUUUUUAAGAUACCAUGCUGGGAAUAUAACUCCACUAAGCUGGGUCCCCAUUCUGAGAAUCCUUCUCACUAACACCAAAGUACCACGUAGCCCCAAAGUGCUUGUUUCUGCAGUGAAGGACAAAAUUAACAAGUUUCCCUCCGUAAUGAAGCCAGUUCUGGAGUCCGUCAGCGCUGUGUCCUGCGCCUGUGAACAGACUCUCACAGAGAUGGCCGCGCAUGGACCUUCAGCUGAGCUCUACAACAUACUGGAGGAGCUGAUUGAUAUAAACCAGCACCAUCUGAACGUGAUGGGUGUGGGGCACUCGUCUCUGGACACACUGUGUAGGGUCACUCUGGCCAGGGGCCUGCAUAGCAAACUGACUGGGGCAGGAGGAGGAGGCUGUGGAAUCACUCUCCUACGACCAGAAACAGAUACUUCAGUGAUUCAGAGAACCGUUGAGGAGCUGAAGGCCUGUGGCUUUGACUGCUGGGAGACCAGCAUCGGAGCUCCUGGAGUCCAGCAGCACUCUUCAGCUGCACUCAGUCAGGACAUACUGAAGAUCCUCCACAGCUACUGAAACAUAAAGCAAGCACACUGUACUGUAUGCAUCAUUGCUGCCGUUAGCACAGAUGCUCAUUGCUGCUGUUACUCUGGAUCCUGGUUCGAUAAACGUAAUUCAUAUUCACAUUGCAAUUUUUUUUAUAGAAUUGGAAAAUGCUAUAAAACAUAACCUUAUCAUCUGCUGAAUUAAGAUUUUUUUAAAAAUAUGUUUGUAUUAUUUCCUUCAGAGUGCAUGCAUUAUAAAGUUUUGUAUGCCAGUAGAUGGCAGCAAAGUGUAAAACAGAUUUAAUACUGUCAAUUUUUGACAGUAUGUAUGGAAUGCAAAUAAUAGAUAAUUUAAUUAAAUAUGAUACUAACUAAAUUAAUUUAAAAAAUUGCUUUUAAUAAAUUUCAGCCUUUUCAUGAAAAGCUGUCAUGCACAACAUUAUUAUUUUCUGGCCUGUCUAUGUAUUCCCAGCAAAUGCAGUAUGAUCAUCUCAUUUGCCAAAAUGUUUCUCAACACGGAUCACAUUUCCGACCAGAACUAACACAGCUUGGAGCAUUUUGGGCUGAGUACAGCCAUUGUAUUAUUGUCACUAAACCCAAAGUAAUUACUUUUCGGUUCUUUGCACUUUGUCAGAAUAUUUUGAACCGGAACAGUUUUGAAGCCAAGGAGGGGAUGCUGGGACGCAUUUGGCUGUCGACCAGACACAGUUCAAGUUGAUCUGUGAAGCGCGGUGAUGAAAUAAACGCUCUGCACUUAGAGCGGAGCACAUUUCCCCACAGUCCCAGGAGAGGGUGUAAUUUUAGUGGUGUUUUGUGAGGAACAGAUAAAGAGGGCUAUCUUCAGCACACGAGACCUGGAGCUAGAGAAUAGGAAAUGGUUUUGCACUGAGAUGAAUAUGUUCCUGUAAACCAAAGGCCGGCAGAAGUACAGAGCCCCUUAUGCUUGAACAAGUCAACUUUGAGAAGACCUACGGAGGUCAGAGACACAUUUAAAACUGAUCUACACCUUUGGAGUACAUUGAUGUUUUAAGAGGAAACAAUCGCAGCACUCUAAGGAAGUGACCUCAGACCCCAGAAGUGAGCCGUUGUCCUCUUGUCAAUCACGGCGUGUGGCAUUUACCCACAAACAGGCCACCUACCUGUACAUGCACACUAUGAAUAUUGCUUUUUCUGAUCUAAAGGGUAAAAAUGAGUCGCAUCAUCUUCCCUUCCCAUUUUCCCCUCUCUGCCACAUUCACUUUAGCCCGAUCCAAUUUGGAUCUCAUCCUCAGACAGAUUGAGGAAUGGCUUUUCAAUCUCUGAUCUGCUGUAAUGAAAAGGGAGAGGGUACUGCCUGUGAAUGUGGUAACCGGAUUAGUGGAGGGAGGAGAGGGUGGCAUCGGCCGUUCGAGGGAGAACAGAUGAAUGAGUAAAGCUGGCUUUAACCAGAAGAGGGGGGCCCAAGACCGGCCCCCGCCACCGAAAUCCCCCUGACCCGCUGCUAGUCAUGCACCUCGUGUUUGUGCUGACAAACAAUUUCACAAAAACGGAUCCACCAAAAGGUUAUCGACUUUUCCUCCUUCCUUCCAUCCCGUUUUCGAACAUGAGAGCCCUUGAUAGGGCCGGCAAUGAGUUAAACACUAUGGCAGUUUUGAAGUCUGUC